rnacentral:lncRNA from 1 species
UGCUGAUGGUUUUGCUAUCUGAUAGGAGAAAUAUUAAUUUUGAUUUCUUGUAUAGGCAUUACAAACUUAUCUCCUGUGUCAUCUACAUACCAUGGGCUACAAAGAAACUAAUCAAGUAAUCAGAGCUACAACAGAAAAUCAAGGACAGAACUGUCCUACAAAAUCAUAAAAUAGAAAGAAAGAAUUAAAGCUAGCUACCAAAAUAUUUGGCAGAGAAUGUUUCUCUUUCCUGUUAAGAUCUCUUCUCCUAAUUGUGUUUUGGAUUUGACUUGCUUGUUGGUGGCAGCUUCUUCAUGUUUGCGAUGACCUCUAUCUCGGUUUGUUUGUCUGCUGCUGCAUGGAAGCCUUUCAGAUUUGCAGAGUUGGUGGCCACAGGCUUCAACAGCCUUCUUAUUUGGACCUUCUCUUCUAAAGAUUCUCUCUCCAAGGAGGGAGGUGAUGGAAAACUUGCAUAAAAAUGCAGUAGAAUCAAAACAGAAAGGAAAGAGAGAGCUCUGAAGAUGGCUUUCAUGGUUGGUUGG